UGAGGAAUAUUGGACAAUGGGUGAGAGCCUGAUCCAGCCAUCCCGCGUGAAGGACGACUGCCCUAUGGGUUGUAAACUUCUUUUAUACUGGGAUAAACCUACCCUCGUGAGGGUAGCUGAAGGUACAGUAUGAAUAAGCACCGGCUAACUCCGUGCCAGCAGCCGCGGUAAUACGGAGGGUGCAAGCGUUAUCCGGAUUUAUUGGGUUUAAAGGGUCCGUAGGCGGGCUCGUAAGUCAGUGGUGAAAUCUCAUAGCUUAACUAUGAAACUGCCAUUGAUACUGCGGGUCUUGAGUAAAGUAGAAGUGGCUGGAAUAAGUAGUGUAGCGGUGAAAUGCAUAGAUAUUACUUAGAACACCAAUUGCGAAGGCAGGUCACUAUGUUUUAACUGACGCUNAUGGACGAAAGCGUGGGGAGCGAACAGAUUAGAUACCCUGGUAGUCCACGCCGUAAACAGCUAACUCGUUUUUGGGGUUUUCGGAUUCAGAGACUAAGCGAAAUGUGAUAAGUUAGCCACCUGGGGAGUACGUUCGCAGAAUGAAACUCAAGG
rnacentral:rRNA from 1 species